CAGAAUAUUAGUGAAUAAGUUGCUUCUUAUAUAAAAGACCCAAGCAGAAUGGUUGGGCAGAUGCAGAUGUGGAAAUUAGCAGUUGCUGUAUUUGGCACUGUUCCUGUGGGGGAGAACACUGCGAAGGGAAAGGUACAAUGUUUAUGAGAAGAUAGUAAAUUUAAUGGCUCCAGAGACCAAUGCCGUUUCUCCUAUGCUUGCUGACCUCAAUAAUUUGUUUGGGUUGAAGAAGCAGAAACCAGCUUUCGUAGUAAAGUAGCAAUGCAGGGCUGAAUCAGCUGUAUAGUCCUUAGAUCUCAAGCUAAGAAAUUGUCUGCUCCUAAUUUAUUUGAUAUAUUAGUCA